GUCCUCCUUUUCAUCAGGAUCAAGUAAAACAGGUGGUCACGGCAACAAAGUCUUUGUACCAGUCCUUGCUAUGGUCACCAAGAAGCUCAAUCCCCAACAGCCAAUUCUUAAAAAGUAAGACAACCCCACAUAGACAUGGACAAACAAGAUCAAGACAAAAGCAAACCAAACCAAACCAAAACCGGGGAGUCCCAAGACUUUAUCCCAGGUUCAUCUUCCCCGAAGUACAGCAAGCCAAAAUGCUGAGACGCCAAGGUUUGCAGCAGAGGAUUUACUUGCAAGGCAGCCAACGGAGGAGACAGGAGAACACA